rnacentral:tRNA from 1 species
UGGGGAAUGGUGUAAUGGUAACACUGCGGUUGUUGGUACCGUCAUUCGAGGUUCGAGUCCUAGUUCCCCAGCCA